UACGAAGGGGGCUAGCGUUGUUCGGAAUCACUGGGCGUAAAGCGCACGUAGGCGGAUCUUUUAAGUCAGGGGUGAAAUCCCGAGGCUCAACCUCGGAACUGCCUUUGAUACUGGGGAUCUCGAGUCCGGGAGAGGUGAGUGGAACUGCGAGUGUAGAGGUGAAAUUCGUAGAUAUUCGCAAGAACACCAGUGGCGAAGGCGGCUCACUGGCCCGGUACUGACGCUGAGGUGCGAAAGCGUGGGGAGCAAACAGGG
rnacentral:rRNA from 1 species